CUCCUUUAGAAAAUUAAAGGUACCGCCUGCUCAAUGCUUAAAGUAAAUAGCCGCAGUAUUUUGACUGUGCUAAGGUAGCAUAAUCAUUAGUCUCUUGAUUAGAGGCUGGUAUGAAUGGCAAGACGAGAAAAAAACUGUCUCUAGAUAAAAUUACGAAUUUCAUAUCUUACUGAAAAAGCUAAGAUGAUUUUGAAGGACGAUCAGACCCUUUGGAGCUUUUUUGUUGGGGCGACAGGAAGAAAAAAGUAACACUUCUUUUAUUUACCAUGAGUAUAUGAAUUACUGAUCCUUAGUGAGAGAUUAAAAGACUAAGUUACCCUAGGGAUAACAGCGUAAUCUUUUUGGAGAGUUCUUAUCGAUAAAAAGGUUUGCGACCUCGAUGUUGGAUUAAGAGAUUAGCAAGGUGCAGAAGUUUUGCUGGAAAGUCUGUUCGACUUUUAAUUUCUUACA
rnacentral:rRNA from 1 species